rnacentral:rRNA from 1 species
UACGUAGGGGGCAAGCGUUGUCCGGAAUUAUUGGGCGUAAAGAGCGCGUAGGCGGUCCGAUAAGUCGGCUGUGAAAGUCAAGGGCUCAACCCUUGGAAGCCGGCCGAUACUGUCGGACUAGAGUCCGGAAGAGGCGAGUGGAAUUCCCGGUGUAGCGGUGAAAUGCGCAGAUAUCGGGAGGAACACCUGUGGCGAAAGCGGCUCACUGGACCACUACUGACGCUGAUGCGCGAAAGCUAGGGGAGCAAACAGG